rnacentral:rRNA from 1 species
AAUUAUUGGGCGUAAAGAGCUCGUAGGCGGCUUGUCACGUCGAUUGUGAAAGCCCGAGGCUUAACCUCGGGUCUGCAGUCGAUACGGGCUAGCUAGAGUGUGGUAGGGGAGAUCGGAAUUCCUGGUGUAGCGGUGAAAUGCGCAGAUAUCAGGAGGAACACCGGUGGCGAAGGCGGAUCUCUGGGCCAUUACUGACGCUGAGGAGCGAAAGCGUGGGGAGCGAACAGGAUUAGAUACCCUGGUAGUCCACGCCGUAAACGGUGGGAACUAGGUGUUGGCGACAUUCCACGUCGUCGGGUGCCGCAGCUAACGCAUUAAGUUCCCCGCCUGGGGAGUACGGCCGCGAGGCUAAAACUCAAAGGAAUUGA